CUUCGCUUAAGCUCAGUUCAGCAGAAUGAACGUCUUAGAUGAACUGUUAUUAUAUUUGAUGAGCUUCAGAUCAUUUAUUCUUGUUGAAAGGCUGAAAAGAUCCAGAUGAGAUCAACACGCAGUUUUCUACAGUGACAUGGCUGUUCUGAUCCCAUGUUAGAGCUGUUGAGUGUGGUUACAGUGUUCCAGGUGAUUGCUAGAGUGUUGCUAAAGUAAUCUGGGUGGUUGCCAGGGUGUUGCCAAGUAGUCGCUAUGGUAUUAUAGCUGCUAGGAUGUGGUUGAGUGUGGUUACUGUGUUCCAGGUGAUUGCUAGAGUGUUGCUAAAGUAAUCUGGGUGGUUGCCAGGGUGUUGCCAAGUAGUCGCUAUGGUAUUAUAGUUACUAGGAUGUGGUUGAGUGUGGUUACAGUGUUCCAGGCGAUUGCUAGAGUGUUGCUAAAGUAAUCUGGGUGGUUGCCAGGGUGUUGCCAAUUAGUCGCUAUGGUAUUAUAGCUGCUAGGAUGUGGUUGAGUGUGGUUACGGUGUUCCAGGCGAUUGCUAGAGUGUUGCUAAAGUAAUCUGGGUGGUUGCCAGGGUGUUGCCAAUUAGUCGCUAUGGUAUUAUAGUUGCUAGGAUGUGGUUGAGUGUGGUUACGGUGUUCCAGGUGAUUGCUAGAGUGUUGCUAAAGUAAUCUGGGGGUUGCUAUGGUGUUGCUAAGUGGUCACUAUGGUGUUAUAGUUGUUAGAGCGUUGCUAUGAUGUUGUGUUGUUACAUUGUUCCAUGUGGUUGCCAGGGUGUUGCUAAGUUCCUUAAAUGCUAAAAUACACAUCAACAUUCAACGAAUCAAAUGAAAUACAUUUUUAAUAUUUAUUAUUGCUAAAUGUAUUUACAGUUCAAACUCCCACAUUACAUAGCAAUGCUAAUUAAACCGAUCUUUGAUAUGUACAAAGUUCUCGCUAGCUUUUCCACAUAAAAGCUGAAUAUUAAGGGCACUUUAGUCGUCUGCUGUAGUUCAAACGUCGGAUAUUUGGUUCUUUACUCCGCAGUGACUGAAUAUUCAAACUGACCCAAUGAAAAUGGACCAAUUCAUGUGUAAAACCAGACUGGAAUCCAGCGUUUCAGUGUUGAGAUGAGACCAGACAGAUGAUAAACUCCUUUGAUGUUUGCACACUUCUGUUCUGAAGCCACAUGACAAACAUCCAAACCACACGAGAGAAUCUGAUGAAAGCUGCACUGAGAAAUUGUGUUAUGAAUAUAAUGCAAUAAAGCAUUAUAAUGCAUAAUUUUAAUUAUACAAUUUCGUAGUGCUGAUAUUACUUUUUUUAUAUAUUUUUAUUAUAUAUAAAAUAAUUCCAUAAUUGUUUUUUUUUUUGCAUUGUGAAGUAUUAUAAUAUAUUAUUAUAAUAAAUAUUAAUAUAAUAAAUUCCAAUGCAAAAAAUAAUAAUGGUCUAAAAAUGUGAUGAGAAAUAUGAUCUAGACAUGUUCUUGACAAAUUUCGUACAUUUCUCCCAACAAAACUAAUGUGACGAUUGGUUUUAAAUCUGCUCUGAGAGUCUGUGUAUGACUGAGAGCUUUUAAGGAAACCAAACAGAUCUCUGUCCAAAUGACAGAGUGUGAUUAUUUUAUACUGGAAUGAAAACUUCUGCACGUGUGCUUGACGUUGAAGAUGAUUUGAUGGAACAGAACAGAAAUCCACAGAAAAACCUCCGCGUUUUAAAAAUAACUUUAGAAUAAUUAACAUUUGAGCGUCUCAAAUACAUAAACAUCCAUUAAAGACGCACAACUGAACACAGAACAAAUGAGACCAUUUAUCACCACAAAAACAAACAAAAAAACUAAUAUAUUUAUAUAUAUAUAUAUAUAUAUAUAUAUAUAAUUAGUUUUUAUACAUGAAAUAUAUAGAAAAGUAUGUGUAUGC
ensembl:lncRNA